GAGGAUUAGCUUCUGCUCUCAUAUACUAAAAUUGGAACGAUACAGAGAAAUUAACAUGGCCCCUGCACAAGGAUGACACUCAAAUUCGUGAAGCGUUCCAUAGUUUU
rnacentral:snRNA from 1 species